CUACGGGAGGCAGCAGUGGGGAAUUUUGGACAAUGGGCGCAAGCCUGAUCCAGCCAUGCCGCGUGCAGGAUGAAGGCCUUCGGGUUGUAAACUGCUUUUGUACGGAACGAAAAGGUUUCUUUUAAUAUCAGGGAACUGAUGACGUACCGU
rnacentral:rRNA from 1 species